AGAGUUUGAUCCUGGCUCAGGAUGAACGCUAGCGAUAGGCCUAACACAUGCAAGUCGAGGGGCAGCAUAGAGUAGCAAUACUUUGAUGGCGACCGGCGCACGGGUGAGUAACACGUAUGCAACCUACCUACAUCAGGGGAAUAACCCGGAGAAAUUCGGACUAAUACCGCAUAAUACAGGGAUGCCGCAUGGCAAUAUUUGUUAAAGAUUUAUCGGAUGUGGAUGGGCAUGCGUUCCAUUAGCUAGUUGGUAAGGUAACGGCUUACCAAGGCAACGAUGGAUAGGGGAACUGAGAGGUUUGUCCCCCACACUGGAACUGAGACACGGACCAGACUCCUACGGGAGGCAGCAGUGAGGAAUAUUGGUCAAUGGACGAGAGUCUGAACCAGCCAAAUCGCGUGAAGGAAGACUGCCCUACGGGUUGUAAACUUCUUUUGUACAGGAAUAAAAGACAUUACGUGUAAUGUAUUGCAUGUACUGUACGAAUAAGCAUCGGCUAACUCCGUGCCAGCAGCCGCGGUAAUACGGAGGAUGCGAGCGUUAUCCGGAUUUAUUGGGUUUAAAGGGUGCGCAGGCGGGAUUUUAAGUCAGCGGUGAAAUUUUCAGGCUCAACCUGAACACUGCCGUUGAAACUGGGAUUCUUGAGUAUGGAUGAAGUAGGCGGAAUUCGUUGUGUAGCGGUGACAUGCUUAGAUAUAACGAGGAACUCCGAUUGCGUAGGCAGCUUACUAAGCCAUAACUGACGCUCAAGCACGAAAGCGUGGGGAUCAAACAGGAUUAGAUACCCUGGUAGUCG
rnacentral:rRNA from 1 species